rnacentral:snoRNA from 2 species
UUGCAAGUGAUGUAACAAUUUCAGUAUGCACAAAACAGAUACUGUAAACACUUUCUGAUAUA